GGCCCAGUAGUUCAACUGGAUAGAAUAUCAGAUUUCGGCUCUGACGGUUGGGGGUUCGAAUCCUCCCUGGGUCGCUA
rnacentral:tRNA from 2 species